rnacentral:rRNA from 1 species
AACGUAGGUUCCGAGCGUUAUCCGGAUUUACUGGGCGUAAAGCGCGUUCAGGCGGUUUGGCAAGUCGGGCAUGGAAUCCUUCGGCUCAACCGGGGGAGGUUGUCCGAUACUGCUGAACUGGAGGGCAGUAGAGGGUGGUGGAAUUCCGGGUGUAGUGGUGAAAUGCGUAGAGAUCCGGAGGAACACCAGUGGCGAAAGCGGCCACCUGGACUGCACCUGACGCUGAAACGCGAAAGCUAGGGGAGCGAACGGG